rnacentral:ncRNA from 1 species
GAGUCCGGGAGAGGCCGCGUUCCGCGGCGCCGAAGGGGACAGUGCGCAACCAAACUCUCAGGCAAAAGUACCGGGCUU